ACAAAUAAAAAAGAAUAAUUAACAGGUGUAAUAAAUGCUUGAUUAAACGCUUGGCGAGGUGAGCCUAGAGUAGAGAUUCUUGUUCUGUUAAACUGACCUUUAUCAGUAAGUUUAAUCAUUUGAAUGGUUUCCCUUUUAACAUGAAUAGGUUCUCUUUAGUUUUCUGUGAUGUUUCUGGAGCUGCUUUCCUAUAUAAGGUUGCGUUAACCAACAUGUAACUGUUGGUCGAUCGUUGACUUCGCCACAGUCAAAAUGAUCAGAUUAUAAACUAAAAGAAAAAUGCUGGAGGCAACCGCAUGGGGAACUGCGGCGUAACUGCAUCCCACGUGGCAUUAAAUGGAAGCGACACCAUUUCUUCAAAACCCUAGCGCAAUGCUUCUAUGUUUUGGUUUUAGCUUCUUGCCUUGAUAAAGCAAGAAGAAGAAGAAUAAAAGUUGUUCAUACUAAGUGUUUGCAUAAACGUGUAGGUGAAAGGCCUUUGUUUUUGGGCUCUGUUUUCAAUUUCUCUAUCACACUUUUGCAAUGUAUUUCAGCUCCUUUAUAUUCACUAGGAGAUCAUUUAUAGAUUGAUAAAAAACAAUUCACAUCACUAGAAGAAUUACACAAGAAUAUCCUGGAAGAUGCUAAGCGUGGAAAUGCUUCAUUGGCUAUUGUUGGCAGAGCCUCUUGAAGAGCAUUCGGACUUGAUUUUCUACAGCACACUAGUGGAGUGAGGUGUAGUGGUAUUUGCCGUAUCAUUGUGGCUAAGGUCCAGCAGCACAGAUGAGGAACGUGGGACAGAGUUGUCCUUGUGGCUGGGACGUGGUGUAGUGCUAUCCAUGUGGUUGGAGGCCUUAAUAGCCCCAUCGAUCCAAGGGGCACCAAUGAAAUGGAAAUCAAAUAUGGGAUGGUGGUGUCGAGGGAGAAAUUUGAGGUGAUUGGUGAGGUAAGGCUGUGUAUUUGGCUGCAAAAAAGGAUGGUGGUGGGGCUUGAUAAGCUUAAUCAAAUAUGUGGUAGCAAGUUAACACAGUAUGACCAGGUUUCUGGCAUACUUGGUAGAAGGAUCUUGGUGCAGCUUGACUAAAAGGGAGUUGAGAACCUCUUCUACUAGGGCCACGACCACGUCGCCCUCUUGAAAAGGAACCUCUACCAUGGUUUGAGGGGAAGACAUUUGGCGAGUUGAAGUUGCAUUUGCUGCAAGAGAGGUUUCUGAAAGCAAUGUUUUAGUUUGAUGUAAUAAACAAGAUUCAUGAUUCAACAAAUAACUGUAAAUCUGUGGGGUGGAAAGAGUAUCGAGUCUAGUGGUAACUGAUGUAACCAGUGAUUCAUAAUCAGAACCAAGGCCAGCAAGAAGGUAGAUGGUGAAUUUGGAUGGAGAGAGAGGUUGACCAGGAGCCCCAAGGGAAGAUGCAAGAGAGGUAACUUUGUUAAAGUACCCUGUGAUUGAGAAAGAACCAUUCUUGAGAGUGGCAAGCUGGUAUUUGGUGUGCAUGAUAUGUGCUGUGGAUUGUGCAACAAAGAGUGUGUGUAGAGUAGACCAAACCUCCUGAGAAGUAGAACAAGUUAGAACUUGUGCAAGAACUGAAUCUGAAGGAGAUGCAUUAAUAGUCGAAAUAAUCAGUUGGUCUUGUAAGACCCAUUUUGUAUAUGCUAGAUUUGGUUGAUUAUCAAGAAUGGGAGGGGGUGCAGGGAAUGAGCCAUCAACAUAUUCAUACAGUUGAUGCCUUUUGAGAAAUGACACAAUUUGUGCCUUCCAAAGUAAGUAGCUUUCUAAGGUAAGUUUGAUAGUAACAAAAUGAGAGGAUAUAUGAGUUGAGAAUGGAGGAGGAAUGAGUAGGUGGGUGAGAGGGAGAAGAGAUAUUUGAAUUUUGGGGAGAGGCCAUAUUUGUGAUUUGAAGUAGGAAGAGGGACAAUGAGUCCUUUCGCUACUUUGAUACCCUGAUAAAGCAAGAAGAAGAAGAAUUAAAGCUAUGCACACUAAGUGUUUGCAUAAA